rnacentral:rRNA from 1 species
AUGCGUAGGGGGCGAGCGUUACCCGGAAUUACUGGGCGUAAAGGGUGCGUAGGCGGCCGUGUGUGUCUGGCGUUAAAAUCCACGGCUCAACUGUGGGUAUGCGCUGGAAACUGCACGGCUUGGGUGCAGCAGAGGCAGACGGAACUGCUGGUGUAGGGGUGAAAUCCGUAGAUAUCAGCAGGAACGCCGGUGGAGAAGUCGGUCUGCUGGGCUGUAACCGACGCUGAGGCACGAAGGCUAGGGGAGCUAACCGGAUUAGAUACCCGGGUAGUCCUAGCCGUAAACGAUGCUCACUUGGUGUGGGGGCGAAGGUCUCCGUGCUGAAGCUAACGCGUUAAGUGAGCCGCCUGGGGAGUAUGCCCGCAAGGGUGAA